GUCCUACGGGGGGCAGCAGUGAGGAAUAUUGGUCAAUGGACGGAAGUCUGAACCAGCCAUGCCGCGUGCAGGAAGACGGCUCUAUGAGUUGUAACCUCUUUUGUCGGGGAGCAAAGAGAGUCACGUGUGGCUCAUUGAGAGUACCCGAAGAAAAAGCAUCGGCUAACUCCGUGCCAGCAGCCGCGGUAAUACGGAGGAUGCGAGCGUUAUCCGGAUUUAUUGGGUUUAAAGGGUGCGCAGGCGGAGGUGCAAGUCAGUGGUCAAAUUGCGGUGCUCAACCCCGUACUGCCGUU
rnacentral:rRNA from 1 species